UUGCUUCGCGUUAAUAUUCUGAUAAUUUCAGGUCUCCGCUAACCAGUUAGGAGCAGUUAGUGUCGCAACGUCCUUGUCGCCAGAGACAAGAACGCUAAUGACCGUCGAGCGUUCUCGAGCGUCUGCAACGGUAUUCUCUCUCUUGUGAACUUGUCUUCUUCUUCUUCUUUCUUCUUCUACUUAUUUUGUUUUCCGUUCGCUUUUAUCUAAUGUUCACUGAACUUUCACUGUUGUUUCUAAGGGACUCCGUAGAGCGUGGGGUGGGCGCGAGCACGAAGAGCCCUGUUAAACGUCGUGCUGUCACAUGGGGCAGCAGACCGCAAUGCGAUUCUCGGGGUGACACGCGAGGGGAGCCGAGCUGGUCUCUUCUUCAGAGCUUCUCUGCGAACACUGCGGACCUUGGUAUUGAAAACCGGAAGCUUUAUAAGGAAGCCAAUGCGACAUGUAUUAUGCGAAUUUCUACGGUUUUAGGCCUCAUCGACCAGGCCUCCCGAGCUUUCAAGGCGACCUUGUUGAGUAUUUUUCCCCCCUCGUAAUCUCCCUGUAGCACGAACGCUUCUUUGUUUUUCGCUUGGACCGAGUGUCGAUGUUUCGGCACGGGAAUGUUGAAGCUAAAAGAAUGUAGACGAUCCACGAAUAAUUUGAUACUUCUGUUGCAUAAUCUUGGAAGUUUCCUUCUUGGAGAAUUAUUGUUGGACCAAUUGACGUUGCAACUACCGAGAUCUAAACGCGACUAAUAUAGGGUAAGUCCGGAAGAAUUCGGCCAGUUGGAGAGACCGGCUAGUAUAAAUUGUCGCGAAACUGUAUUCUUAGCAGUAAUUGAGAGAUAGCGAGACGAUAUCGGUCAUGGUCAGAAAAUACGAUAGGCAACUUGCAAACAUUAUAAAUAGUUCAGAGAACAUUAAGACAAAGAAAAACAAGGGAACUGUAAAGAGACAUAGGAAUGUUUCAAUUAAAAGGGGGAAGAAUGUAAAGAACCGAAGAAAACAAUUUGAACAAUCAUUCGACUUGAGCAGAGAUAAUCCAGUUUUAUAAGAAAGUGACGCGUCAUUAGGAGAAUGGAACCACACAAAACGAAUGCGUGAGAUGCAGAAAGGACUUACCGGACUUAUCCUAUAGUUAGUAUAUUAUGUAUAGUAUAAUAUAGUAUAUUAUAACUUCGACCAGAUUGGUAUGCUUUAAUAAAGAAUUUUAUCGAGAAAUA